GCAGAAAACUUGCAGAUAACAGGGCCAUGAAUAUGAAGGUAAUUAAGGUUGACCUCUACAUCCAUGCUACAUGUGAGAGUAUGAAGACACCCAUCAGUACCAUGACUUUUCUCAGCUGAUAGCUGACUUGACUACUUUGCUGAGGUCUUUGGUUUCAUACAUAUUUUCAGCAGCUGAGCACUUCCUAAUAUCUGCAUAAGGCUUCUUUUAGGGUUCUUUAUGGGACCAGGACACUGCACAGAGCAUGAAGCAAUCGUGGAGCUGGAGGUGGGAACUCUUCUGUUUGCAUGUCACAAUGAAAACUGGGAACACCCAACACCUGCAGAGACAAAGAUGGACUGGAAAAUAUUCUAUUCAUGUCCAUUUGUCUUGAGUUUCUGU